rnacentral:rRNA from 1 species
UACGAAGGGGGCUAGCGUUGCUCGGAAUCACUGGGCGUAAAGGGUGCGUAGGCGGGUCUUUUAAGUCAGGGGUGAAAUCCUGGAGCUCAACUCCAGAACUGCCUUUGAUACUGAAGAUCUUGAGUCCGGGAGAGGUGAGUGGAACUGCGAGUGUAGAGGUGAAAUUCGUAGAUAUUCGCAAGAACACCAGUGGCGAAGGCGGCUCGCUGGGACGGUACUGACGCUGAGACGCGAAAGCGUGGGGAGCGAACAGG